CCAAAUUGCAAAUUUGGUGACGCACGUAAGAGUGCCGGGGCUU
rnacentral:tRNA from 1 species